AGAUACCAGGCUUGAAAAGACAGGCGCUGCAUGUUUACAUGCGGGCGCAUGUCCUUGAGAGCCGCGAAAACAUGAGAAAGAAGCCCGACAGGGCGGAUUUCGAAUGUUUUCAGGAUUUCGAAAGUGCGGAGCACGGAGAAAUCCGUGGUAUCG
rfam:Marvinbryantia formatexigens DSM 14469 B_formatexigens-1.0.1_Cont7.1, whole genome shotgun sequence.